AAAGUGUUGCUGGGGGAAAGUCAGCUCUCUGGCCCACGCCUUCCACCUGUUUCUGCUGUGUUCUUUCCUCAGGGAUCCCAACGGCUUCAAUGACUGGACCUUCUCCACUGUGCGAUGCUGGGGGGAGAGAGCCCGAGGGACCUACAGGCUUGUCAUCAGGGAUGUUGGCUGUUAGAGAGUGCCAUGAGUGGAAAAUACCUGCACGAUGACUUCGCCCUGCCCUGCCCACCGGGGCUGAAAAUUCCUGAGGAAGAUGGUUACACCAUCACCCCCAACACCCUCAAGACCCUGGUGCUGGUAGGCUGUUUCACCGUCUUCUGGACCGUUUACUACAUGCUGGAAGUAUAUUUGAGCCAGAGGAAUGUGGCUUCCAAUCAAGUUUGUAGGAGUGCACCCUGCCACUGGCCCCAUCGGAGCCGGAAAGCCAAGGAGGAAGGGACAGAGCUAGAAUCAGUGCCACUUUGCAGCAGCAAGGAUCCAGACGAAGUGGAAACAGAGAGCAGGGGCCCUCCCACCACCUCUGACCUCCUUGCCCCAGACCUGCUGGAGCAAGGGGACUGGAGCCUGUCCCAGAACAAGAGCGCCUUGGACUGCCCUCAUCAGCACCUAGACCUACUGCACAGGAAGGAGGAGCAGAUCUGCUGACCUCAGGGCCUGACAGUGUGGGACAGGCUCUUCUUUCCCAAAAUUAGGGA
rnacentral:sRNA from 1 species